CUACGUGCCAGCAGCCGCGGUAAUACGUAGGGGGCAAGCGUUAUCCGGAUUUACUGGGUGUAAAGGGAGCGCAGGCGGUUUGGCAAGUUGAGAGUGGAAGCAGGGGGCUCAACCCCUUGACUGCUCCCAAAACUGUUAAACUUGAGUAUGGGAGAGGCAGGCGGAAUUCCUAGUGUAGCGGUGAAAUGCUUAGAUAUUAGGAAGAACACCGGUGGCGAAGGCGGCCUGCUGGACCAAAACUGACGCUGAGGCUCGAAAGCGUGGGUAGCAAACAGGAUUAGAUACCCUGGUAGUCCACGCUGUAAACGAUGAAUACUAGGUGCUGGGAUGCAUAAGCAUUUCGGUGCCGUCGCAAACGCAUUAAGUAUUCCACCUGGGGAGUACGUUCGCAAGAAUGAAACUCAAAGGAAUUGACGGGGACCCGCACAAGCGGUGGAGCAUGUGGUUUAAUUCGACGCAACGCGAAGAACCUUACCCGGUCUUGAGAUCC
rnacentral:rRNA from 1 species